UAAAUAGCCCGGCUAGCUUUGGCUGGUCGCCGGCUUCUUAGAGGGACUAUCGGCUCAAGCCGAUGGAAGUUUGAGGCAAUAACAGGUCUGUGAUGCCCUUAGAUGUUCAGAGACGAAAGCGAAAUACACUAACAGAGCCAACGAGUUCAUUCCUUGUCCGAAAGGU
rnacentral:rRNA from 1 species